rnacentral:rRNA from 1 species
UAGCGGCGGACGGGUGAGUAAUGCUUAGGAAUCUGCCUAUUAGUGGGGGACAACAUUCCGAAAGGAAUGCUAAUACCGCAUACGCCCUACGGGGGAAAGCAGGGGAUCUUCGGACCUUGCGCUAAUAGAUGAGCCUAAGUCAGAUUAGCUAGUUGGUGGGGUAAAGGCCUACCAAGGCGACGAUCUGUAGCGGGUCUGAGAGGAUGAUCCGCCACACUGGGACUGAGACACGGCCCAGACUCCUACGGGAGGCAGCAGUGGGGAAUAUUGGACAAUGGGCGCAAGCCUGAUCCAGCCAUGCCGCGUGUGUGAAGAAGGCCUUUUGGUUGUAAAGCACUUUAAGCGAGGAGGAGGCUACUNGGAUUAAUACUCUAGGAUAGUGGACGUUACUCGCAGAAUAAGCACCGGCUAACUCUGUGCCAGCAGCCGCGGUAAUACAGAGGGUGCGAGCGUUAAUCGGAUUUACUGGGCGUAAAGCGUGCGUAGGCGGCUUUUUAAGUCGGAUGUGAAAUCCCUGAGCUUAACUUAGGAAUUGCAUUCGAUACUGGGAAGCUAGAGUAUGGGAGAGGAUGGUAGAAUUCCAGGUGUAGCGGUGAAAUGCGUAGAGAUCUGGAGGAAUACCGAUGGCGAAGGCAGCCAUCUGGCCUAAUACUGACGCUGAGGUACGAAAGCAUGGGGAGCAAACAGGAUUAGAUACCCUGGUAGUCCAUGCCGUAAACGAUGUCUACUA